rnacentral:rRNA from 1 species
AGGCUGCGAUAAGCCUCGGGGAGCUGCCAACUAAGCUAUGAUCCGGAGACUUCCGAAUGGGGAAACCCAACCUUUAAAGGUUACGGCAUACUGAAUACAUAGGUAUGUCGGGGCAACCUGGGGAAUUGAAACAUCUUAGUACCCAGAGGAAUAGAAAACAAUAGUGAUUCCCUCAGUAGCGGCGAGCGAACGGGGAUUAGCCCAAACCACAGGAGCUUGCUCUUGUGGGGUUGUAGGACCAGCAUAUACAUCAUUCUAAUGAAACAACCGAACGUGGUGGAAACGCGUACCGUAGAGGGUGAUAGUCCCGUAGGUAAAGUUUCAGAAGAGAUAGCUGGCACCUGAGUACGGUGGGACACGUGAUAUCCUGCCGGAAGCUGGGAGGACCAUCUUUCCAAGGCUAAAUACACGCAAAUGACCGAUAGUGAACCAGUACCGUAAGGGAAAGGUGAAAAGCACCUCUAACAGAGGAGUGAAAUAGAACCUGAAACCGCAUGCCUACAAGCAGUGGGAGCUCCAUAUGCGAGUGACCGCGUGCCUUUUGCAUAAUGAGUCAGCGAGUUACUGCUAUGCAGCGCUAGGUUAAGUCGACAAGACGAAGCCGCAGGGAAACCGAGUCCUAACUGGGCGUAAGUUGUAUGGCGUAGACCCGAAGCCGGGUGAGCUACCCAUGGCCAGGUUGAAGUUCCGGUAACACGGAAUGGAGGACCGAACCCACUGAUGUUGAAAAAUCAGGGGAUGAGCUGUGGGUAGGGGUGAAAGGCCAAUCAAACUCGGCAAUAGCUGGUUCUCCUCGAAAUAUAUUUAGGUAUAGCCUCGAGCUAUUCACUCGCGGGGGUAGAGCACUGAAUGGGCUAGGGGGCUUACCAGCUUACCAACCCCAAUCAAACUCCGAAUACCGCGAAGUGCUAUCUCGGGAGUCAGUCCACGGGUGAUAACGUCCGUGGUCAAGAGGGAAACAACCCAGACCGCCAGCUAAGGCCCCUAAGUUCUAGUUAAG